AGAGUUUGAUCCUGGCUCAGGAUGAACGCUAGCGACAGGCUUAACACAUGCAAGUCGAGGGGCAUCGGGGAGUAGCAAUACUCUGCCGGCGACCGGCGCACGGGUGAGUAACGCGUAUGGAACCUGCCCUGUACAGGGGAAUAGCCCAUGGAAACGUGGAUUAAUGUCCCAUAUGACAUUCGGGAGGCAUCUUUCGGGUGUAAAAUUUUCGGAGGUACAGGAUGGCCAUGCGUCCUAUUAGAUAGUUGGCGGGGUAACGGCCCACCAAGUCGAUGAUAGGUAGGGGUUCUGAGAGGAAGGUCCCCCACAUUGGAACUGAGACACGGUCCAAACUCCUACGGGAGGCAGCAGUGAGGAAUAUUGGUCAAUGGGCGCGAGCCUGAACCAGCCAAGUCGCGUGAGGGAAGACUGCCCUAUGGGUUGUAAACCUCUUUUAUUCGGGAAGAAUAAGCCUUACGAGUAGGGUGAUGCCUGUACCGAAUGAAUAAGCAUCGGCUAACUCCGUGCCAGCAGCCGCGGUAAUACGGAGGACGCGAGCGUUAUCCGGAUUUAUUGGGUUUAAAGGGUGCGUAGGCGGAAUAUCAAGUCAGCGGUAAAAAUUCGGGGCUCAACCCCGUCGUGCCGUUGAAACUGAUGUUCUUGAGUGGGCGAGAAGUAUGCGGAAUGCGCGGUGUAGCGGUGAAAUGCAUAGAUAUCGCGCAGAACUCCGAUUGCGAAGGCAGCAUGCCGGCUCCACACUGACGCUGAGGCACGAAAGCGUGGGUAUCGAACAGGAUUAGAUACCCUGGUAGUCCACGCAGUAAACGAUGAAUGCUGGCUGUCCGGGGGGAUUGACCCCUGGGUGGCGAAGCGAAAGCGAUAAGCAUUCCACCUGGGGAGUACGCCGGCAACGGUGAAACUCAAAGGAAUUGACGGGGGCCCGCACAAGCGGAGGAACAUGUGGUUUAAUUCGAUGAUACGCGAGGAACCUUACCCGGGCUCAAACGGGGAGUGACUCAGGCAGAGACGCCUGUUUCCCACGGGACACUCCCCGAGGUGCUGCAUGGUUGUCGUCAGCUCGUGCCGUGAGGUGUCGGCUUAAGUGCCAUAACGAGCGCAACCCCCGCGUGCAGUUGCUAACAGAUAACGCUGAGGACUCUGCACGGACUGCCGGCGCAAGCCGCGAGGAAGGCGGGGAUGACGUCAAAUCAGCACGGCCCUUACGUCCGGGGCGACACACGUGUUACAAUGGGUGGUACAGCGGGAAGCCAGGCGGCGACGCCGAGCGGAACCCGAAAUCCACUCUCAGUUCGGAUCGGAGUCUGCAACCCGACUCCGUGAAGCUGGAUUCGCUAGUAAUCGCGAAUCAGAAUGUCGCGGUGAAUACAAUCCCGGGUCUUGCACUCACCGCCCGUCAAG
rnacentral:rRNA from 1 species